rnacentral:rRNA from 1 species
AGAGGGUGCAAACGUUGCUCGGAUUUACUGGGCGUAAAGCGCAUGUAGGCGGGCGAUUAAGUCGGGUGUGAAAUCCCUGGGCUCAACCUAGGAACUGCAUCCGAAACUGAUCACCUUGAGUAGUGGAGAGGAAAGCGGAAUUCCGGGUGUAGAGGUGAAAUUCGUAGAUAUCCGGAGGAACACCAGUGGCGAAGGCGGCUUUCUGGACACUAACUGACGCUGAGAUGCGAAAGCGUGGGGAGCAAACAGGAUUAGAUACCCUGGUAGUCCACGCCGUAAACGAUGAGUGCUGGGUGUCUUGGGUAUUGACCCCCGAGGCGCCGUAGCUAACGCGUUAAGCACUCCGCCUGGGGAGUACGGUCGCAAGACUA